UGGGGAAUCUUGCGCAAUGGGCGAAAGCCUGACGCAGCCACGCCACGUGUGGGACGGCGGCCCUCGGGUUGUAAACCACUUUCAGCAGGGACGAAAAUGACGGUACCUGCAGAAGAAGCCCCGGCCAACUACGUGCCAGCAGCCGCGGUAA
rnacentral:rRNA from 1 species